rnacentral:rRNA from 1 species
UUGAAAGGGAAACGAUUGAAGUCAGUCGUACCGACGAGAAAUCAACUUAUCGUGUGCGAACCUGUGGGCGUGCGUGAGUUUCGGCCUCGCUGUUUGCAUGUUUGUGCGUUUUGGGUGUACUUUUUCGUAUGGUAGGCCAACGUCAGUUUCGAUUAUCAUAAAAUGACCGGCGGAAUGUAGCUUCGAUUUCGGUUGAAGUGUUACAGCCUCUGGUAGAUGUGGUGAUUGAGACUGAGGAUUGCAACGAAUACCCUUUGGGCUAUCCGUCUGGCCUCUGAAAGUUGCUCAGGUGCCGAAAGCGUGCUUACGGUCAUCUAAGAUAACGUUCAACAGGUUAGAACGUGAUUACAUUCGUUAAGGAUGUUGAC